CCCUUAGAUGUUCUGGGCCGCACGCGCGCUACACUGACGAAUGCAACGAGCUUAUAACCUUGGCCGUAAGGUCUGGGUAAUCUCCAAAUUUCGUCGUGAUGGGGAUAGAUUAUUGCAAUUAUUAAUCUUCAACGAGGAAUGCCUAGUAAGCGCAAGUCAUCAGCUUGCGUUGAUUACGUCCCUGCCCUUUGUACACACCGCCCGUCGCUCCUACCGAUUGAAUGGUCCGGUGAAGCGUUCGGACCGUGGCCUUUGGACGGUUCGCCGUCUGUUGGCUGCGGGAAGUUCGUUAAACCUUAUCAUUUAGAGGAAGGAGAANUCGUANCA
rnacentral:rRNA from 1 species